AACAGAACGUCACAGAGGGUGAGAAUCCCGUGCGAUGAGAUGUCCCAGACCUAUGUAAAGUUCCUUCGAAGAGUCGAGUUGUUUGGGAAUGCAGCUCUAAGUGGGUGGUAAAUUCCAUCUAAAGCUAAAUAUUGGCGAGAGACCGAUAGCGAACAAGUACAGUGAUGGAAAGAUGAAAAGAACUUUGAAAAGAGAGUGAAAAAGUACGUGAAAUUGUUGAAAGGGAAGGGCUUGAGAUCAGACUUGGUAUUUUGUAUGUUACUCUCUCGGGGGUGGCCUCUACAGUUUACCGGGCCAGCAUCAGUUUGAGCGGUAGGAUAAGUGCAAAGAAAUGUGGCACUGCUUCGGUAGUGUGUUAUAGUCUUUGUCGAUACUGCCAGCUUAGACUGAGGACUGCGGCUUCGGCCUAGGAUGUUGGCAUAAUGAUCUUAAGUCGCCCGUCUUGAA
rnacentral:rRNA from 1 species